CUGGCGGCAUGCCUUACACAUGCAAGUCGAACGGCAGCACGGGAGCAAUCCUGGUGGCGAGUGGCGAACGGGUGAGUAAUAUAUCGGAACGUGCCCGGUCGUGGGGGAUAACGUAGCGAAAGCUACGCUAAUACCGCAUACGAUCUACGGAUGAAAGCGGGGGAUCGCAAGACCUCGCGCGAUUGGAGCGGCCGAUAUCAGAUUAGGUAGUUGGUGAGGUAAAGGCUCACCAAGCCGACGAUCUGUAGCUGGUCUGAGAGGACGACCAGCCACACUGGGACUGAGACACGGCCCAGACUCCUACGGGAGGCAGCAGUGGGGAAUUUUGGACAAUGGGCGCAAGCCUGAUCCAGCAAUGCCGCGUGCAGGAUGAAGGCCUUCGGGUUGUAAACUGCUUUUGUACGGAACGAAACGGUGAGCUCUAAUACAGUUUGCUAAUGACGGUACCGUAAGAAUAAGCACCGGCUAACUACGUG
rnacentral:rRNA from 1 species